UUUUAAAAAAAAAAAAUUUGAAUUACAUAAAUGUUUUAUAAAUAUUAUUAUUCAUAAUGACAAUUCAGAUACUAAUUGCUUUCGCAUUCAUUUCCUCUUCUAUAACACAAUGCAGGGCAACUGAAAGUAUAUCUAUUAAAAAUUAUUCUAAAUGAAUCUAUUAUUGAAUUAUAAUCUAAAUUUGAAAUUUAUUUAUUAAAUCUUUUAGCGAUCAAAACAGAAUCUUAAUUAAGAAUUUUUAAAAAAAUUCUAGAUCUUUCUUGUGCUUUUCUAACAUAAAAUUUUUUUUUUGUAAUAUUAUUUUUGGUCACUUUUCAUUCAAAUCUGAAUAAAUUCAAUAAAUAUUGGAUUAAUCUUAAUAAAUAAGGCAUCUUUAAAAUCUGCCAAUAUCUCAUGUUUCAUUUUAUGAUUUUUAUGCUAAGUUUAAAUCUUAUAAAAGUCAAUGAGAUUUGAACUGACAAGACAUCAUUUCUCACACAUUCUAUUCAUAACGCGCCACAAUUGUGAAUUUAACAAAAAUCUUAUUCGGGAACAAUGGAAUAUAGCCUUUACAACUUGAUGAAACUUGUAUAAAAGAAAAGAGAGGAAAGUUUAUUUAAAAAAUUAGCGAAAAUAAGGGAAAUUCUAAUUAAUACAUAAGUGUUGGUAAUUAAAACUUACUAAUCAUUAUAAUUUCGCGAAAAUAUCAUUGUCAAUUUUACAAAAUUGUUAUUAUCACCAAUUGUAAAAUUAUCAUUAUUAAAUAUGAUUUCAGAAUAUAUGAAUAAUUAAAGAAUUGAUCAAAUUUGGAUGUUAGAAUAAUAAAAGGAUGAUAAAUCAACAAGAUUGUUAGAUAAUAUUUUUAGCGUUUUUAUAUUUAUUCUCAUUAAACCAUGAAAAAUAUGGUUAUAAAAAAAAAUAAAAAAUGAGAUUAAAUUUAACAGGUGCUUUUCAAUCUUAGUUGAUGGCUCAUAUGAUGUUUCGAAAUCAGAAGCAAUAGCUUUGACAGUAAGAUAUGUUGAAAAUAGUGAGACGCCAAAGCCUGUUGAAAGAUUGAUUGACAUAUAUUGUACGGGAAAUACCACAGGUCUCGAUAUUAAGCAUAAUAUAAUAUCCAAACUUGGCUCGAUAAAUUUACCCCAUGAAUUCCUAGUUGGGCAAAGUUAUGAUGGCGCCUCAGACAUGAGUGGAAGAAUCAAUGGUGUGCAGGCCUUAAUUAGAGCAGAGGCGCCAAAGGCAGCUUUUAUUUGGUGUUAUUGUCAUCGAUAAAAUUUAAUCGUUGUUCAAUUAUGCCAAUCAAUUAAAGAACUUCGAAAUGUUCUAGGAAUACUAGAUGAGAUUUAUAUCUAUUUUAAUGGUGUAAAAAGAUGUGAGGUGCUCAAAAAAUGUCAGUGUAAUAAUCUGAAAAAAUCGCAACGAUUUCUACGCAACAAGAAUACUACUCGGUACGGUAAUAGUACCUUAUUUAUUUAUAUUUAAAAUGUUUUUUUAUUUAAAAGCUGGCUAUCGUCAUAUAAAGUUAUUGUUAAUUCUUUUCUACUUUAUGAUGCCUUGAGGGCAGCUUUAACAAAUUUAAAGGAUUCUGAAGAUCCUGUCACUUCCACUAUGGAUAGUGCUAUAGUCUUUAGAAUAAAAAAAUUUGAUUUUAUAUCUUAUCACUUAGUGUUUUGGAUAAAAUAUUGUUGAUAACAAGUUUGGCUUGUACAAAAUUGCAAACGAUUUCGAAGGAUAUAGGGUUUGCAAUAAAUCAAAUUCAAUUGGCAAAAGAUUGCUUGAUUAAUUUGAGAAAUAAUAACACUGAAUUUUUGUUCAAAGGCACAAGAUUUUAUGAAGGAGACAAAUCUACCUUUUGAUUUUGAAAGUUCUAGACUUCAAACAUUACAAUCCAAAAUGGAGAGGUAUAUAUACUUUCAUCAUUAAAAUAGAUGUGUUUUAUGCUGCACUCGAUUUAAUUAUUAUGCAGUUUAACGAAAGAUUUAAUGAUGAUUCGAUGAAAUUUUUACAUCAAACAUCAUUUUUUACGCCAAAUAAUGUGGCAGAAAAAUUAAUUAUUAAAGAAGAUAUCGAGGAUAUCUGUGAAUUUUAUAAUUUAAAUUCAAGUCAAAUUUUCGAAGAAAUGUUGAAGUCUAGAAAUAUUUAUAAAAUGGCCAAAAUGAGGAAUGUAAUUAUUACUCGAAAAUUCUUCUUCUGAUGAUGAUGAUAAUUCAGGGACUUACGAUUCAGAUUGGAA